rnacentral:lncRNA from 1 species
AUGAAAGCAAUUUCACACUUUAUUAGACAAUUCAGGUGCCAGCUGCACCAGCCUGGAGCGAGCGCUGCUGUUCACGGCUCCUCUCCUGCUCCGCAGCCCCGGGCUCCCUCUCCAUGGGGCUCAGCCCCUCCUCGGGCCACGCUGGUCCCAGCUGGCACACGAGGGGCCACUGAGGGUGGCCUGGGGCUUGUGCUGCUCCUUGUGGGCCACCACAGGGUGGGCAGGCGGCAGAACAUUGCAGCACAGGCUGGCUCUGCUGGGAGCCAGCUCAGCCCAGCAGCGUGGGCAACCCAAGCUCUGUGCCCAAAGCCACUGGGGCUGGCUGUGCCCUUCAGCCCAGGGCAGCCACCCUGCUCCUCCUGUGCCCUCUCCUUUCUGCGCCCCGUGCUGAGGGGACGGCUCUGGGAUUGGAGCUGGUGGCAGCUGCUUUUCCUUACACCUCCCUGUUCCCGGGGUGCCUCAGCAGACAGAGCCGAUGGGCACACGGGCACCUGGGCACUCAGCCAUGACCCUGGCACCCCGGGCUCUCACCUGGGGUGUGUUGUGCGUCCCUGCCGUGUCCCCGGCGAGCAGCGGGCACACGGAGCUGCUCCCGGCACGUGGCCGGGCUGGCACCCGCGCCCUGGGGACGCUGUCACACCCCGCGGGUGGACAAUAUCCAAAUGCCUGCACGUCCAGGAUAUGAAUCAGCGCGGACAGGAGCGCAGCAGCCGCUCUGGGACACCCGGAGCUGCCCCGGAGGCGGCUCGGGCAGCCAGGCAUCGCCGCUGCCAAAUUCCGGGCGGGCUGAGGGCGGGUCAGGGGCAGCAGCGGCUCCGCUGCCACCUCCGAUCAGCCCGGCCUGGCAAAGCCCUGGCCUGGCACGCAUUUCCCUGUUUGCACGGCUCCGUUCCCCGGUGCCAAGCAUGGCACGGUGGCACCGGGCCAGGGCCGUGCCUAACCUUGACCUGGCUGCUGGCGAGCAGCCCCAGCUGUCCCCCCGUGCCCCCGGGCACAGGCAUGUUCCAGUGGGCCAGCCAGAGCAUUCCUCCCGGGAGAGCCUGUCCUUGA